rnacentral:rRNA from 1 species
UAACGCGUUAAGUCGACCGCCUGGGGAGUACGGCCGCAAGGUUAAAACUCAAAUGAAUUGACGGGGGCCCGCACAAGCGGUGGAGCAUGUGGUUUAAUUCGAUGCAACGCGAAGAACCUUACCUACUCUUGACAUCCAGAGAACUUAGCAGAGAUGCUUUGGUGCCUUCGGGAACUCUGAGACAGGUGCUGCAUGGCUGUCGUCAGCUCGUGUUGUGAAAUGUUGGGUUAAGUCCCGCAACGAGCGCAACCCUUAUCCUUUGUUGCCAGCGGUCCGGCCGGGAACUCAAAGGAGACUGCCAGUGAUAAACUGGAGGAAGGUGGGGAUGACGUCAAGUCAUCAUGGCCCUUACGAGUAGGGCUACACACGUGCUACAAUGGCGCAUACAAAGAGAAGCGAACUCGCGAGAGCAAGCGGACCUCAUAAAGUGCGUCGUAGUCCGGAUUGGAGUCUGCAACUCGACUCCAUGAAG